GAAAGUCAUUUCUAAUGCAUGGAAACAGGAAGAGAGCACAAUUAGAUGCCACACUAUUGUGAGAAAAAAAAGAAAUACCUUCCAUAUUUGGCUGCUGUAGAUUCCGACCACUGACUGGAUGCUGUAAUAUCUUCAUCAGGGAUCUGUCCUCCUGACAUACCCAAAGGGUAACGGCAGACGGCUAGCAGGGCAAUAUUGGGGUGUUUAUUGGGUUGCUGGUGCCAAAUCCCAUGAAACUGCACCAAGUGUAAGCUAUGGCUCCUAUUGCUUGAAACCUUGGACUGCAAGUUUUAAAGGCUGCUGAAGGUCACAGGAAUGACUUGGGGAGAAGAGGAGCUACCCCUAAAAACUGUGGUCACCAAUAUGCACAAAUGUGCUCUGUGUGACAUUGCCCUUAAUCUUGUAGUUUUUAUUUGGAUAUUUCAUUGCCAAAAGGUACAAUUAUUUCUACUUUUCCUGUAGUUGCAAUUAUGUAAUUAUUUAUGCAGUGGAUGAACAUGUUUGCUUCUGUAACAGGUAGCUAACUAAUAAAAGUCUGGAAGAUUUCUUUCUUGGCAUGAGAAAAGGCUUUUGACUGACUUUGCUUGCAUGGGCCCUUA